AACGAACGCUGGCGGCAGGCUUAACACAUGCAAGUCGAGCGCCCCGCAAGGGGAGCGGCAGACGGGUGAGUAACGCGUGGGAAUCUACCCAUCUCUACGGAAUAACGCAUGGAAACGUGUGCUAAUACCGUAUACGUCCUUCGGGAGAAAGAUUUAUCGGAGAUGGAUGAGCCCGCGUUGGAUUAGCUAGUUGGUGGGGUAAAGGCCUACCAAGGCGACGAUCCAUAGCUGGUCGGAGAGGAUGAUCAGCCACACUGGGACGGAGACACGGCCCAGAGUCCUACGGGGGGCAGCAGUGGGGAAUAUUGGACAAUGGGCGCAAGCCUGAUCCAGCCGUGCCGCGUGAGUGAUGAAGGACCUAGGGUUGUAAAGCUCUUUCACCGGUGAAGAUAGUGACGGUAGCCGGAGAAGAAGCCCCGGCUAACUUCGUGCCAGCCGCCGCAGUAACAC
rnacentral:rRNA from 1 species